GAGCUGCUAGUCCAAUAAAGAUAACUGAUUUCGACUCAGUGGAUUGUGGUUUAAACCCACGGCACCUCU
rnacentral:tRNA from 1 species